rnacentral:rRNA from 1 species
AUUGAACGCUGGCGGCAGGCCUAACACAUGCAAGUCGAGCGAGCGGCGGACGGGUGAGUAAUGUAUGGGGACUGCCCUAUAGAGGUGGAUAACUACUGGAAACGGUAGCUAAUUCCGCAUACUAUCGGCUAACCCAUAUGGGAUUAGCUAGUGGGUAAGGUAAGGGCUCACCUAGGCUACGAUCCCUAGCUGGUCUGAGAGGAUGAUCAGCCACACUGGGACUGAGACACGGCCCAGACUCCUACGGAGGCAGCAGUGGGGAAUUUCGCACAAUGGGGGAAACCCUGAUGCAGCCAUGCCGCGUGUAUGAUGAAGGCCUUCGGGUUGUAAAGUACUUUUGGCAGAGAAGCGGUAUCUACAGAAUAAGCACCGGCUAACUACGUGCCAGCAGCCGCGGUAAUAC